rnacentral:tRNA from 1 species
GCUUUCGUGGUGUAACGGCCAGCACAUUCGACUCGUACUCGAGAGGUCCGCGGUUCGAGUCCCGGCGAGGGCA